GUAGGUGGCAAGCGUUGUCCGGAAUUAUUGGGCGUAAAGCGCGCGCAGGCGGUUCUUUAAGUCUGAUGUGAAAGCCCACGGCUCAACCGUGGAGGGUCAUUGGAAACUGGAGAACUUGAGUACAGAAGAGGAAAGCGGAAUUCCACGUGUAGCGGUGAAAUGCGUGGAGAUGUGGAGGAACACCAGUGGCGAAGGCGGCUUUCUGGUCUGUAACUGACGCUGAGGCGCGAAAGCGUGGGGAGCAAACAGGGAUUAGAUACCCUGGUAGUCCACGCCGUAAACGAUGAGUGCUAAGUGUUAGGGGGGUUUCCGCCCCCUUAGUGCUGCAGCUAACGCAUUAAGCACUCCGCCUGGGGAGUACGGCCGCAAGGCUG
rnacentral:rRNA from 1 species